rnacentral:tRNA from 1 species
GGGUCAUUAGCUCAGGUGGUAGAGCAUCGGAUUUUUAAUCCGGUGGCCGCAGGUUCGAGUCCUGCAUGACCCA